ensembl:lncRNA
AGACAGACUAGAGAAGGACCUCAUCCAGUUGUGUGUUACUUCUGCAUAGCACAAAUGGCCACACACGAUUUUAUGGCAAUACUAGAGAUCCUGAUCCUUUCUUCUCUCCGGACCUGCCUGAUCUAUUUCGUAUGCCCUACCUCUGGAUGGAGCUCUCAUCUACUCCAAUUCCAGAUUGCUGGGACUACGGCUGCUUCAAAGGCCAAACAAACUUCAUAUAAAUCCAUAAUGAACUUUUUCACAUUAUCUGUUGUUACCCAGAUGAGGAUGGGUUCCCUUCUGAGUCUGGUUCCUCUCAAGGUUUCUUCUUCAUGCUAUCUCAUUCCUUGCUGCUGUCGCCUCUGGCUUGCUCUUUAAUCUGGAUUUCUGUAAAGCUGCUUUCUGACACUGUCUAUUAUUAAAAGUUCUAUUCAAAUAUGAAUUGAA